rnacentral:tRNA from 1 species
UCCCUGGUGGCUUAGAUGGUAAAGCAUCUGCCUGCAACACAGGAGACCCUGGUUUGAUCCCUGGGUUGGGAA